rnacentral:rRNA from 1 species
GACGAACGCUGGCGGCGUGCUUAACACAUGCAAGUCGAGCGGAAAGGCCCUUCGGGGUACUCGAGCGGCGAACGGGUGAGUAACACGUGGGUGACCUGCCUUCGAGUGGGGGAGUAACGUCCCGAAAGGGACGCUAAUACCGCAUAACAUCCUGCCUUUUAAGAGGUGGACAUCAAAGCUGGGGAUCGCAAGACCUAGCGCUUGAAGAGGGGCCCGCGCCUGAUUAGCUAGUUGGUGGGGUAANGGCUCACCAAGGCAACGAUCAGUAUCCGGCCUGAGAGGGCGGACGGACACACUGGGACUGAGACACGGCCCAGACUCCUACGGGAGGCAGCAGUGGGGAAUUGUUCGCAAUGGGCGCAAGCCUGACGACGCAACGCCGCGUGGAGGAUGAAGA